GCCCGGCGGGGAGCGGUCACAAAGGCUUCACCUGGCAGGCCUCCUGCAGGCGCAUCCCCGGCUCUGCAGGACUCGUGCCGGCUGACCAUCUGCCCUCCCGGCCCAGCCGCCUCCAUCCGGAGGUCCACUUCUCGGGACCCUUGAAGACGUCUUGCCCCCAUGGCUCCGGUAUCAGCUGAAGAAAUGGCACCGCCGACCCAGUAGUGACCUGCUAGAACUCACUAAGAUAACUCAACGGGUGUUAAGAUGCUGGAAGUCCUCCCAGACCGUCCUGCUCUCUUCGUUUUUACGGCGCUGAGAUCUUCUGGGUGUCGUCUGCUGCGACCCAACCGCCCUCGGUGGAUCCCCUCUGACCCAAGCAGCUCACUGAAGCAUCCUUCCAAAAUAAGGGCGUCUCUGACCCUCAGCGGUGUCUUCAGGGCUUUGUCCUACCUGAAUGGAAGGAUGCAGUCAGCGGGUGGCCUCGGGCAGAGCCACAGACAGUGCAGACCUGCCGGUGUGCCCGCUACACAGACCAAAAGGCCGGGACCCCUGUUGCCUGACCUGAGAGCCGCCAGCUCGGCUCGCACCCGUGUCCCCCCUCUUCCCCCGUCUGCCCUACAGCCCAUGGCCGGGCGUCUCCUGGUGUGCAGAGUAAGAGAGACAGAAGCACAACAGGCACCGAUGGCCACGUCCCUGCUGCAGCCCCUUCGCCUCUCUGGGACCCCCGGGCCGGGCAUCGGGCUCCUCACGCGGAUUGGGGCUCCCCCAGGACCCAAGGUCGUCAUCCACGUGGCACUGUCGUGCUUCCAGGGAGAGCAAAAGGGAGAGGUUGGGAUCUUGAGACUCAGAAAUGGAACCUUCGAGGCUCAAGUGCGGGCUCAGCCACUUACUGGUCAUGUGCCUCCAGCGAGUGACCCGCCUCCUUGUAGAUCCUGUGUCGGGCCUGCAAACUGGGGGAGAAACAGGGCGUCUAAGGCACGGGGUUUAGGCACUCCGUGAGUUCAUGCAUUUGAAGGGUGUGGAGCAGUGCCUGGCUCCCAGGGAGCUUCCACUCCCCGCAGCGGCAGGGAGGAGCCGUGGAAACAGCAGAAGUCCCGGCAGCCCCGUGCUCCCCCACUCCUCCUCCUCGUGCCCCUCCCCAUUUCUGCUCCCAAGCCGAGCUUGCUUCCCACUCAUGCUUUUCCCCCAAGGCAAUUACAUCACAAGUAUGGAGCUUCUCUCUCCGGUUAUUAUUUUUUUUUCUAAGACCCAAGCAGAAGAGAGGAAUCAAAUGACUAUGUGCUCAAUGCCUUUAUCUUCCUUGGGAUAAAAAGUUCAAUAAAUUAGGACCUUCUUCCA
rnacentral:lncRNA from 12 species